rnacentral:rRNA from 1 species
GACGGGGGGUGCAAGCGUUAUCCGGAAUCACUGGGCGUAAAGCGUCUGUAGGUGGUGAUGCAAGUCACUGGUGCAAAACUCUGGCUCAACCGGAGGAAAGCCAGUGAAACUGCAUGACUAGAGUGUGGGAGAGGUAGAAGGAAUUCCCUGAGUAGCGGUGAAAUGCGUAGAUACAGGGAAGAACACAGGAGGCGAAAGCGUUCUACUGGAACACAACUGACACUGAGAGACAAAAGCUAGGGGAGCGAAUGGG